CGGUCUGCUGCGGCGGCAGCGGCUGUCCGCUUGCGCCGGGCAAGGGCUGGCCCGGUUGGGCCCGUCCGGGCGCGGCGUCCGGGCGGGCCGG
rnacentral:tRNA from 1 species